rnacentral:rRNA from 1 species
UACGGAGGGUGCAAGCGUUGCUCGGAAUUAUUGGGCGUAAAGGGCAAGUAGGUGGUCUCAUUUGUCUGGGGUGAAAGCCUUGAGCUUAACUCAAGAAGUGCCCCAGAAACGGUGAGACUAGAGUCCUGGAGAGGGUCGUGGAAUUCCCGGUGUAGCGGUGAAAUGCGUAGAGAUCGGGAGGAACACCAGAGGCGAAAGCGGCGACCUGGACAGGCACUGACACUCAACUGCGAAAGCGUGGGGAGCAACAGG